rnacentral:tRNA from 1 species
GAGGAUGUGGCUUAGUUGGUAGAGUGCUUGUUUAGCAUGCACAAAGCCCUGGGUUCAAUCCCCAGCAUCUCA